AAAAAGAUAAGCUAAAAAAGCUAAUGGGUUCAUACCUCAUCUAUGAAAUUAUAUUUCUCUUUUUA
rnacentral:tRNA from 1 species